AAUUCGUUACGUAACCGCAUUUUGACCGCAACGAAACGGAAAAAAAAUGUCCGCAACGGGGUUCUGGCGACCGCAACGGGGUUCCGGCGACCGCAACAGGGUUUUCCGAUCAUCAAACACCGUUCUGUUUAGCUCCUGGAAGGUAAAAAACAAAUUAUUUAGGAAUCUUAUCUCAUUCAGAUCUCCAAAAAAGGACCAACCUUAUCUUUUCACCUCUUUUACUCUGUACUCAGUUCUGUCUCUGCCUCUGCCUCUGGGUCUCAACUCUCUGCCAGUGUUUUAAAUUACGGAUGCGGUCGCGGUCGCGGUUGCGGUCGUUGCGGAUGCGGGUAAUGCGGUUACCGCAAUGCGGGUUGCGGCCGUUGCGGUGUGAUU
rnacentral:lncRNA from 1 species